AGACACGGCCCAGACUCCUACGGGAGGCAGCAGUAGGGAAUCUUCGGCAAUGGACGAAAGUCUGACCGAGCAACGCCGCGUGAAUGAAGAAGGCUUUCGGGUCGUAAAAUUCUGUUAUAAGGGAAGAAAAGUUAGAGUAGGAAAUGGCUCUAAAGUGACGGUACCUUAUGAGAAAGCCACGGCUAACUACGUGCCAGCAGCCGCGGUAAUACGUAGGUGGCAAGCGUUAUCCGGAAUUAUUGGGCGUAAAGAGCGCGUAGGUGGUUGAUUAAGUCUGAUGUGAAAGCCCACGGCUUAACCGUGGAGGGUCAUUGGAAACUGGUCAACUUGAGUGCAGAAGAGGGAAGUGGAAUUCCAUGUGUAGCGGUGAAAUGCGUAGAGAUAUGGAGGAACACCAGUGGCGAAGGCGGCUUCCUGGUCUGUAACUGACACUGAGGCGCGAAAGCGUGGGGAGCAAACAGGAUUAGAUACCCUGGUAGUCCACGCCGUAAACGAUGAGUGCUAAGUGUUGGGGGUCGAACCUCAGUGCUGAAGUUAACGCAUUAAGCACUCCGCCUGGGGAGUACGGUCGCAAGACUG
rnacentral:rRNA from 1 species